rnacentral:lncRNA from 1 species
GCACAUAUCUCAUACCUGCAAGUUUGUUGAAUACACAAUACAAUCAUCAAUUAAUUAAUAGCCUCUUCACAAUGCUUCCAAAGUUGUUCUUAAUCAUUUCUACACUAAUUUCCUCCUUCAUCUUCACUCAUUCUUACACCCAAUGUCUUCACCACCAGAAAAUCUUGUUGCUUCAACUCAAGGAUGAGCUGAGCUUCAAUUCAUCUCUUUCAACAAAAUUGGUGCGAU